rnacentral:rRNA from 1 species
UACGGAGGGUGCAAGCGUUAUUCGGAAUUACUGGGCGUAAAGCGCGUGUAGGCGGGAAGGUAAGUCUGAUGUGAAAGCCCUGGGCUCAACCUGGGAAGUGCAUUGGAUACUGCUUUUCUUGAGUUCUGGAGAGGAUGGGGGAAUUCCCGGUGUAGAGGUGAAAUUCGUAGAGAUCGGGUGGAAUAUCAGUGGCGAAGGCGCCCAUCUGGACGGCAACUGACGAUGAGACGCGAAAGAGUGGGGAGCAAACAGG